rnacentral:rRNA from 1 species
UACGAAGGGGGCUAGCGUUGUUCGGAAUCACUGGGCGUAAAGCGCACGCAGGCGGAUUGAUAAGUCAGGGGUGAAAUCCUGGAGCUCAACUCCAGAACUGCCUUUGAUACUGAGGAUCUUGAGUUCGGGAGAGGUGAGUGGAACUGCGAGUGUAGAGGUGAAAUUCGUAGAUAUUCGCAAGAACACCAGUGGCGAAGGCGGCUCACUGGCCCGAUACUGACGCUGAUGCACGAAAGCGUGGGGAGCAAACAGG